GAGUUAUCUUUUCUUUUAGUUCCUGUAAGAAUUGUGGACAUGCCAAAAGACUUAAAUGGUUAUGGUCUCAGUAAUAUUGACUUGGUGGUAAGAGUGGAAGGUUAAACAGGAGAAAUAUAUUAUGUAAAUGAACAGCAGAUACGGUGGUGAAGGAAAAGGAGGUGGCGAGAUUCAACGGACCGGAUUCAAUGGAGAAGAAUUGCAAACAUUGCAUUUGGAGAGAUGAAGAAUUGAAAGACGGUGGAGAAUAUCUUUUUGCAGUUAACAUCAAUGGCCCAUCGUCACCAUCUCUUCCAUAGCUGUUGAUCCUAUUCAAUCAUCCUUGGCGUUAUAAUGACAUUCAAUAUCGAGUGGCAUUAUAUACCCAAGUCUGUGCUUCGAUUUUGUGGCGUACAGGUCAGAUUGAGAAAUCAUCUCGGCAUUUGACAUGGGCAUAUAAGAUUCGUGGAGAAUGCGAAAUGUUACUUUGUCCAUGAAAAUGAGGAAUAUAAAGCGAAUUCGAAUAUCGAGAUGUAUGUAUGGACCAUGUAUAAUAUUAUAUGCUUUCAAUCCACUGUCUUUACAUUGAGCCAGUCAAACUUUUAGACCCGAUUUCAUGAAGCAGAUCAACGAGUAUAUCGUUUUCCAA